rnacentral:tRNA from 1 species
GUAUAGAUAAGUUAAACAACCAUUAAUUAAACUACUAGACUCAUGAUCUAGCAAUAGCAGAUUAAAAUUCUCUUCUAUACC